rnacentral:rRNA from 1 species
AGUGAACGCUGGCGGUAGGCCUAACACAUGCAAGUCGAACGGCAGCACAGUAAGAGCUUGCUCUUAUGGGUGGCGAGUGGCGGACGGGUGAGGAAUAUAUCGGAAUCUACUUUUUCGUGGGGGAUAACGUAGGGAAACUUACGCUAAUACCGCAUCCGACCUACGGGUGAAAGCAGGGGAUCUUCGCACCUUGCGCGAUUGAAUGAGCCGAUGUCGGAUUAGCUAGUUGGCGGGGUAAAGGCCCACCAAGGCGACGAUCCGUAGCUGGUCUGAGAGGAUGAUCAGCCACACUGGAACGGGGACACGGUCCAGACUACUAAGGGAGGCAGCAGUGGGGAAUAUUGGCCAAUGGGCGCAAACCUGAUCCAGCCAUACCACGUGGGUGAAAAGAGCCUUCGGGUUGUAAAGCCCUUUUGUUGGGAAAGAAAAGCAGCAGGUUAAUACCCCGCUGGUCUGACGGUACCCAAUGAAUAAGCACCGGCUAACUACGUG